GUAUUGUGGUAGUGAUGGUGGUGGGUCCCAGGGAGCACUGUAGUAGUGACUGCACCCCUCAGUUCAUCCCGCGCCUAAUACCUAUCCAGUGGCGUCAGUGGAACACUGCCUGAAGUUUUUUGCCUACAAAAUGAACUUUAUACACACAUUGGCAGACAUUCUUUCGUAUACGUAGUUAUACGUAAGGCUACGACUUAUAAAUUGAGACACCGCCAGCUCGCUACUUUCAGCAAUUUAGACCUGGCAACCCUGGGUCACAGUGUGGUACAAGCAACGAUUCGGGGAGGUGACCACUCCACCUCUCCCCAAGACCAGCAUUCCACCGAGCCGCAUACACGGAUAGCCUAGAGUGCAAGAAGAUGGAGGACAAGGUUGUGAUCCGACGGGCGAGGCUUGGUGAUGCAGAGUCUGUGUUGGAGGUGUGUAGAGCAGUGCAGGCGGAGAUGGCCAGGCAGGAGGCGAGGACUCAGCUCCUGCACCUCCUCACCCACCCUUACCUCGUGGGCCUCACCCUCUUCACCUUCCUUACCAUCCACUACACCCUGCAGACGAGUGUCGCGUGGUCAGCGGUGAUGGGGUGCUGGGUGGUGGCGCUGGUGGAGGCCGCCCGCUACUGGCUCUUCUGGGGGAGAAUCCGUCGGGUGUUCCAGCCUGGUCCAGACCUUCUCAACUUGGUCCACUACUACUCUCAUCCUCGCAGAUUGUUUCUGGUGGCUGAGGUGGGCGAGGCUGUGGCUGGGACCAUCGCCCUGCGAGAGACUGUAGACCCGGACACCGCUAAGCUGUGGAGGAUGUUCGUCCACCCACGAUUCAGGAGGAGGAGCAUCGCCUCAAGGUUGAUAAGUGCGUGUAACAAGGAGGCGAGGCUGCUGGGGUACCGGGCGGUGGAGCUGCGGACUCACCUCACCAACCAGGCCGCCCUCAGGUGCUACCACAAGGCCGGCUACAUCACCCUUCGUCAGGAGAACUUCGCGCGCCUCUAUCCUUAUACCUUUGACACUGUUCACUGCAUCUGGAGGAACGCAGAUUAAGAUUAUUUGAUAUCAAAGUAAAGGAAGCCACAUUCUACAAGUGCAAGAAGCAGAUGUGAAAGAGAAGUCUGCGGCCGCCAAGAAGAGCGUGGACGGUUGUGUUGGGUGGUGGACGAGGCUAAGAGGAUACCUCACUUUCAACAGGGAGCUGGUGGCCAUUAAGAUCAUCCUCUUUCUC
rnacentral:misc_RNA from 1 species